CUGCUUACCUAUUAUAUGUAGUAGGUAUAUGAAAAUGCCAUGUUAUCAAGAUGAAUGUUGUUGUUAUCUACAUUUGGAGUGCAUGGUCAUAGAAUAUGCAAAAGGCGAUAUUAGGAAACUGCUUCGCAAUAACGUUACAGACCAACAUUGACCUAUGGUAAAGAGAGAGUCCGGUGCUGAACGAAUCACAAAAAACCAGACUACAAGGAUCAUGACUGAUAGCUAAAGUAGAGUAGUGACCGAAGGCUUUAAUUCGAGAAGAAGAACAUAUUCUUUCCGAAAAUACAGCGACAUUUGGUUUGUAAUAUGGAAGUCAGCAGGAACUGCGCGCUUGCGUUUGCGCAGUACAGAGAGUCAGUGUGGAACACAUCUGCAAGUCAGUUAUCCCAAUGAGUCAAUGACGUCACGCAUAGGC